rnacentral:rRNA from 1 species
UGGGGAAUAUUGGACAAUGGGCGCAAGCCUGAUCCAGCCAUGCCGCGUGAGUGAAGAAGGCCUUAGGGUUGUAAAACUCUUUCGCCGGGGAAGAUAAUGACGGUACCCGGAGAAGAAGCUCCGGCUAACUUCGUGCCAGCAGCCGCGGUAAUACGAAGGGAGCUAGCGUUGUUCGGAAUUACUGGGCGUAAAGCGCACGUAGGCGGACUUGUCAGUCAGGGGUGAAAUCCCAAGGCUCAACCUUGGAACUGCCUCCGAUACAGCAAGCCUAGAGAUCGGGAGAGGUGAGUGGAAUUCCUAGUGUAGAGGUGAAAUUCGUAGAUAUCAGGAGGAACACCCAUGGCGAAGGCAGCACUCUGGGCUGGUAUUGACGCUGAGGAGCGAAAGCAUGGGUAGCGAACAGGAUUAGAUACCCAAGUAGUCCCUGAGCGGGCUGGCAAGGCGCAU